rnacentral:rRNA from 1 species
UCUUGGUCAUUUAGAGGAAGUAAAAGUCGUAACAAGGUUUCCGUAGGUGAACCUGCGGAAGGAUCAUUAACGAGUUAUUGAACAGGUUGUAGCUGGCCUCUGAACUCUCAGAGGUAUGUGCACGCCUGGCUCAUCCCACUCUUCAACCUCUGUGCACCUGUUGUAGGUUCGGUGGAAAGGCACGUCUAUAACUGAUGUUUAUCGUUGGCUGGACUUGCUUGGAAACCUUCCUAUGUCUUUUUUGUUACAAACGCUUCAGUUUAAGAAUGUGUCUCUGCGUAUAACCGCAUCUAUAUACAACUUUCAGCAACGGAUCUCUUGGCUCUCGCAUCGAUGAAGAACGCAGCGAAAUGCGAUAAGUAAUGUGAAUUGCAGAAUUCAGUGAAUCAUCGAAUCUUUGAACGCACCUUGCGCUCCCUGGUAUUCCGGGGAGCAUGCCUGUUUGAGUGUCAUGGUAUUCUCAACCUUCUGUAACUUUUGUUGGGUUACCGAAGGCUUGGAUUUGGAGGCUUGUGCUGGCUUCUUGGUUAAGUCAGCUCCUCUUAAAUGCAUUAGCGCGAGUGUAACAGAUCGCUUCGGUGUGAUAAUUAUCUGCGCCGUAGUUGUGAAGUGACAUUUAGCUUGUGCUUCUAAUCUUCCUGCAAAUUGGACAAACAUUUUAUUCUGACAUCUGGCCUCAAAUCAGGCAGGACUACCCGCUGAACUUAAGCAUAUCAAUAAGCGGAGGAA